GUGGGGAAUAUUGGACAAUGGGCGAAAGCCUGAUCCAGCCACGCCGCGUGUGUGAUGAAGGCCUUCGGGUCGUAAAGCACUGUGGGGAGGGAAGAAAAAAAUGACGGUACCUCCUUAGCAAGCACCGGCUAACUCCGUGCCAGCAGCCGCGGUAAUACGGAGGGUGCAAACGUUGCUCGGAAUCAUUGGGCGUAAAGCGCACGUAGGCGGUCGGAUGUGUCGGUUGUGAAAGCCCUCGGCUUAACCGAGGAAGUGCAGCCGAAACUAUUCGACUUGAGUACGGGAGAGGGUAGCGGAAUUCCCGGUGUAGAGGUGAAAUUCGUAGAUAUCGGGAGGAACACCAGUGGCGAAGGCGGCUACCUGGACCGAUACUGACGCUCAUGUGCGAAAGCGUGGGGAGCAAACAGGAUUAGAAACCCCUGUAGUCC
rnacentral:rRNA from 1 species